rnacentral:misc_RNA from 1 species
GAUGAAGAACGUAGCGAAAUGCGAUAAGUAAUGUGAAUUGCAGAAUUCAGUGAAUCAUCGAAUCUUUGAACGCACAUUGCGCCCGCCAGUAUUCUGGCGGGCAUGCCUGUUCGAGCGUCAUUUCGACCAUCAAGCCCCCGGCUUGUGUUGGGGACCUGCGGCUGCCCGCAGGCCCUGAAAACCAGUGGCGGGCUCGCUGUCACUCCGAGCGUAGUAGCAUAUAUCUCGCUCAGGGCGUGCUGCGGGUUCCGGCCGUUAAAAGCCUUUUUUUACCCAAGGUUGACCUCGGAUCAGGUAGGAAGACCCGCUGAACUUAAGCAUAUCAAUAAGCGGAGGA